rnacentral:lncRNA from 1 species
UCAAAAAUUAAAUUUUUUUCAUGUUUCUAGUCUUUAUUUUAAAAAAAUAAUUGCAUACAUACCCAAUAGAUUCACAAACCAAACGACAUACACAUAAUGACAUGAAAACUGAAAUUCUAAAACUGGACAAUUUAUAUGGGUGAUUUUUUCUGAGUUAAAUAUUCACUACAAUUCACCAAAGGCUACAACUUUGCGAUUUUUUCCCCAAAUGAUGUUAAUUCUCCAAUGAUUUAUGUGUUCUCCCGCCCACUUACUUCUGGUUCAAACCCUAAAAAAUCAAACAAACAUGGUGAUAGAAGCCACAUAAAUCAGAAGCGAGGGGAAGCAAAAAUCUUGGAGAAAUCAGAAGCGAGGAGAAGUAGAAACCUUUGAGAAAUCAAAAGCUUUGAAGAACCGAUGCUGGAGAGGCAAAAUCCAGCGAAGUUGAUUCUGAUAGGGCAGAAGCCAGCGAUGCAUAGGCCGGCAAAGAAGCAGAAGUCGCUAAAGAGAAUGUCGUUCAAGGAAGGGUGUUGCUCAAACCAUGUUCGUUCUAGGCAAAGGAGGGUUUUCGUGGAAAUUAAUUCAAUCAGCGAUUGUAUUUGGCUGAUUCGGCCGGACUCUUUU